UACGGGGGGGGCAAGCGUUGUUCGGAAUUACUGGGCGUAAAGGGCUCGUAGGCGGCCAACUAAGUCAGACGUGAAAUCCCUCGGCUUAACCGGGGAACUGCGUCUGAUACUGGAUGGCUUGAGUUUGGGAGAGGGAUGCGGAAUUCCAGGUGUAGCGGUGAAAUGCGUAGAUAUCUGGAGGAACACCAGUAGCGAAGGCGGCUCGCUGGGCCGUUCCUGACGCUGAGACGCGAAAGCUAGGGGAGCGAACAGG
rnacentral:rRNA from 1 species